rnacentral:rRNA from 1 species
CGAAAGCCUGACGGAGCAAUACCGCGUGAGGGAGGAAGGCUCUUGGGUUGUAAACCUCUUUUCUCAAGGAAUAAGAAAGUGAAGGUACUUGAGGAAUAAGCAUCGGCUAACUCCGUGCCAGCAGCCGCGGUAAUACGGAGGAUGCAAGCGUUAUCCGGAAUGAUUGGGCGUAAAGCGUCCGCAGGUGGCAUUGAAAGUCUGCUGUUAAAGAGUCUGGCUCAACCAGAUAAAGGCAGUGGAAACUACAAAGCUAGAGUGCGUUCGGGGUAGAGGGAAUUCCUGGUGUAGCGGUGAAAUGCGUAGAGAUCAGGAAGAACACCGGUGGCGAAGGCGCUCUACUAGGCCGCAACUGACACUGAGGGACGAAAGCUAGGGGAGCGAAUGGGAUUAGAUACCCCAGUAGUCCUAGCCGUAAACGAUGGAUACUAGGCGUUGCUUGUAUCGACCCGAGCAGUGCCGUAGCUAACGCGUUAAGUAUCCCGCCUGGGGAGUACGCACGCAAGUGUGAAACUCAAAGGAAUUGACGGGGGCCCGCACAAGCGGUGGAGUAUGUGGUUUAAUUCGAUGCAACGCGAAGAACCUUACCAGGGCUUAGCAUGUCGCGAAUCCCGGUGAAAGCUGGGAGUGCCUUAGGGAGCGCGAACACAGGUGGUGCAUGGCUGUCGUCAGCUCGUGUCGUGAGAUGUUGGGUUAAGUCCCGCAACGAGCGCAGCCCUCGUUGUUAGUUGCCAGCACUUAGGGUGGGCACUCUAACAAGACUGCCGGUGACAAACCGGAGGAAGGUGGGGAUGACGUCAAGUCAGCAUGCCCCUUACGUCCUGGGCUACACACGUACUACAAUGCGACGGACAGAGGGCAGCGAGCAUGCGAAUGCAAGCAAAUCCCGAAAACCGGCGCUCAGUUCAGAUCGAAGGCUGCAACUCGCCUUCGUGAAGGUGGAAUCGCUAGUAAUUGCAGGUCAGCAUACUGCAGUGAAUUCGUUCCCGGGCCUUGUACACACCGCCCGUCACACCAUGGAAGCUGGUAGUGCCCGAAGUCGUUACCCCAACCUUUCGGGGAGGGGGAUGCCUAAGGCAGGACUGGUGACUGGGGUGAA